rnacentral:rRNA from 1 species
UACGUAGGGACCAAGCGUUGUUCGGAUUUACUGGGCGUAAAGGGCGCGUAGGCGGCAUGUUAAGUCAGCUGUGAAAUCUCCGAGCUUAACUCGGAACUGUCAGCUGAUACUGAUGUGCUAGAGUGCAGAAGGGGCAAUCGGAAUUCUUGGUGUAGCGGUGAAAUGCGUAGAUAUCAAGAGGAACACCUGAGGCGAAGGCGGGUUGCUAGGCUGACACUGACGCUGAGGCGCGAAAGCUAGGGUAGCAAACGGG